CUUCACUUCACCUGACUUGAUGGACGUUGAGGGCAGUUUGGCGAAAGGUGGCACUGUUGCGGAGUAAAUGCGAACGUAGCCGCUUAAGCGUUCUUACUUUUAAAAUUGUAAUAUUUUGAAUACAUUUUCUAUACUCAAUUGUUUUGAACGGCGAAGAGAAGCAACGUUCAACUGAGAAGAAAUGGGAGGCAGGUGGUCAGAUUUGAGAGGGGAAAAGCACAGGCGAAGAUGUGGCUUCAAAGCCAACCAACACUUACUUCAAACAACUCUGAGCAAGUGCCAAUCACGUUCCCAACGAAGGAAAACACAACAACAGAAAAUGCUAAUCAACCAAGCGCUGAAUCUACAAAGUAAAUAAAGAAAUUAUAAACAGAUGCCAUAAUUUGCAACAUAUGGAUAAAUAAAGC
ensembl:lncRNA uncharacterized LOC108934302